ensembl:miRNA
GUGCAAAAGUAAUUGCGGUUUUUGCCAUUAAAAGUAAUUGCAAAAACUGCAAUUACUUUUGCA